CCUCGGUGCUGCUCGACGAGGUGCGCGCGCGUUCUCGUCUGCCCUCGUGGCCGUGGGGCGCGUGGGACCGCGUCCAGGAGACCGAGGCCCUAACGUUCGCGCGUUCUGAAGCCACGGUCUCGGGCUGGGGCCGCGGGCGCACUGUGCUGCCGGAGAGCCGAAAGCUCUGCCGCCAGAGGGGGCUUGAAGGGCCUGGUCGAGGCCUGCACGGCCUGGCCGCCUCGCGCACACUGUCUGCGUCAGCGGGCGGAGCGGGGACCGGGCCUCGCGGGCCCUACACCCUGCUUUUCUAGGGACCCUGUUACUUGGUGACCACAAUGAAAAAUGGGAGCCAAUAUGAUCUGGUAAUGGGCACACUUCCUAAGCGCAAGAGCUCCAAAGAAUGGUUGGAACCACAGUCGCUUUCUUUUAUGGAGGCUUUAGCUAAAGAAGACACUGAUGCAGCUGUUCAAUCAAUUUUAUACAGAGAAAAUUAUGUAAUGAAGGAAUUAGAUAAGUAUUUAAAUCAUCAUGACUUCUUAAAUGCAAGAAGAAAAGAAAUGCUGUAUAAAAAAUGGGUUGAGCGUGUGGAAGAUCCUCUACAGAAGAAAAUUAUAGAAAAAGUUUCUUCACAUAAGAAGAUUAAAAAGAGGAGACGACAAGAAUUAGAGAACUUUUUGAGAUAUGUUAAUAAGAAGGAAAAUGCGUUUAUAGAGCAUUAUGAUCCAAAAGAGUACGACCCUUUUUAUAGGAGCAAAGAGGACCCCAAUUUUCUGAAGGUUAUCAUGCCGCCAUUCCGUGACCCUUUGAAGAAAGCUCAAUAUGACAAGGAUGAUGAGAAGCGAACUCUUCUUCAGUGUGAGACUGGCAAAAUCUAUACAAUGAAAGAAUUUAAAGAGAUCGAGAAGGCUCAAUUGCUGUCCAGGUUCCCGAGUAUUUCUAAUUCAAGGCAAUGCAUGACUCCAAAUGAAUGGCUUAAAGUGCCCAUGAGAUAUAUAGAGAGUGAAUUUUGUAAAAAGAGCAGGGUCAAAGUGAAGGUGAAUUUUAAUGCUGGUAGUUUUGAUUUGAAUCCACGGAGAAGGGUGCCUGAUAUUGUGGAAUUCCAGAAGGAAGAAAAGGCGGUCAGUUACAAAAACAAAGGACUUUCCUCUCUGGACAGUGAAGAUCUGUGUUUCCAGGAAGGGAAAAACCCAAGUUCCAAAGGGAUCAGUGCUGAAGGUUGCCAUUCUUCUGCAGCCCUCUGCCAGGAGGUAGAAAGGAACAGGGACCAGGAUGCGGUGAGAGCUGGCACAGUCAGUCCCAUUUUGUGAUACACAGAACAGCACUUGCUGACACCCAGUCCAAGCAGCUGGGAACUUCUUGAUAUGGUUGCGACAACCACACAUCCUGAUUCCUGAUCUGAACAAGGACCCACAAAAAAAGGCUGCUUUAGACGAAGUUACCUGGCAGGAAUCCUUCUGAGGCAGACCAAGGAAGAAACAUAAAAAUCAUCCUGUUCUCUGCAAUAAACUUCUUUUGAUUUAGA